AGCAGCCGCGGUAAUUCCAGCUCCAAUAGCGUAUAUUAAAGUUGUUGCAGUUAAAAAGCUCGUAGUUGAAUUUCGGGAUCAGUAUGUUGGUCGUGCUUCGGUACGUACUGUCAUUACUGGUUUCUACCUUCUGAAGAACCUUGAUGUCAUUAAUUUGGUGUCUUGGGGAAUCAGGACUGUUACUUUGAAAAAAUUAGAGUGUUUAAAGCAAGCAUACGCUUGAAUACAUUAGCAUGGAAUAAUGAAAUAGGACGUUUGAUUCUAUUUUGUUGGUUUCUAGGAUCGACGUAAUGAUUAAUAGGGAUAGUUGGGGGCAUUAGUAUUCAAUUGUCAGAGGUGAAAUUCUUGGAUUUAUUGAAGACUAACUACUGCGAAAGCAUUUGCCAAGGAUGUUUUCAUUAAUCAAGAACGAAAGUUAGGGGAUCGAAGACGGUCAGAUACCGUCGUAGUCUUAACCAUAAACUAUGCCGACUAGGGAUCGGAUGAUGUUAUUUUUUAAUGACUCAUUCGGCGCCUUACG
rnacentral:misc_RNA from 2 species